GGGCCCUCCUCCCAUUGGAUCCGGCGCUCCCGGCAGGAUGGGCUGCCCACACUCCAGGGCUUUCUCACAGGAAGGACUCCUGGCCAAAUUCAGUCAUCUCAACAUAUGAGGCAGUGAGGACUUCUGGGCUACAGCUGCAGGAUGCUGAAGCACCAGCUGCUGAGCAUGCAGUGGUUCAGGGGCAAGGCAGCAAAGCUAUUUGGCAGAAGAUGUAACAUAAAUGGAGAUAGAGCAUUGGCGAACUGGCACAGUGGUGUCAGCAAAGCAUCAGAAUCUGGGCCAGAGUGAGACCUUUCUAGCCUGCCCCAGUGUCACCCUGAUCCAAGGGCCUUCAGGCCUACAGAAUUGGGCAUGAAACAGCAAAGGAUGGCCUCUGCUUCCACCACCAUCAGAAAUGUUAUAUUUUCACCAGUGCACCAUAAUGUAGCAGUCUCUCCAUAAUGUAGCAGGUGAGGUAUCACCUGGAGUUCUUCGUCUCAUGACCAAGAAAAUUAAGGAGCGUGGAUGCAAAGGAUGAAGUUGCAGCGAAAGUUUAAUAAGCAAAAGAAGAAA
ensembl:lncRNA SRD5A3-AS1 SRD5A3 antisense RNA 1